AUUUAUUCAUGAAAAUGGUUGGUUUAAAGCUCGAAAGCUCAUACCGAGAUGGCUUUUUCACAGCUUCAUGACGAACUAAAAUAAAAGCUUAUGACAGAAGAAACAUGCUUGGAUAGGCGUCCUUGUCGACCUCGCAGUCUCCAACCCAUCCUUAGGUAUUGCAGCUCCUUCCAAUCCAGUUUACUCCUUUUUGACAAUUUUCUUACUUGAGCCUUGGAGAUAUGCACUGAAUCGGCUAAUGUUUGCUCUGGGAAUUUCCUUUUGUAGAGAGGAUGUCUUGUCGAAUGUAGUUUUUAGUUCUUGAUCUUUUUUAUACAAGAUAUCUAAAUACUGUAAUUACUCUUGCUGGGAAGAAGGUUGUCAUGUAAGGGGAAAACUUUAGAAGUUACGCGACAUAAUUUAAACCAUGUGCAACUUGUUUGCUUCCUUGUUGUUUUAUUGCAUUCGAGAUCUUUACUAUUUUCACUGUCGAAAAUGCAGAGCAGAUCUUUAGUAUCUUGAAUUAUCAGUUAAAUUUGUUAGUUGUGAGAUGCAUAUGAUUCUGGCUUCAUUCACAACCAUUCAUGUGGUUUCUUCGGUUUGGUUGGUCGCUGCUGGUACUUCCAUGCCAUCUGAUUAUGUGGUAGAGUGCUUCGGAACUGUGUGUGGGGCCGGGUGUUGUCAGCCAGACCUGGGCGCCCUCGCCGGCGACUUGCUAUCUAACCCAUCCACAGGUUUUCCUACUCUUUGAUUUUCCUGUCCAAGUCCAUGAUUUGGUUUAUCUUGGUUGGCGUGCUUUUUUAUGUUACCUUGGUGGUCGAUGCAAUGAGAGGUGCAAAUGCAAGGCAAGACGACAUUAUAUAGGUUGUCCUGUGAGUUAGAAUAUCCAUGUGCUACUUAUUGUGGUGCGGCAUCAAGCAUGUUGAUUGAUUCUGAAGCAUGAGUAAACUGUAGUAAGCUGUGUGUACAGAUUCCUGAUUAUUCUGUAUGAUCCUCUAUUUUUUCCUUUAUGAUCCUCUUUAUUGUGGUGCGACACCAAACUUGGGUUAUUUACUUGCUUCCACUAUGAUUUCUGGGGAGGGCACUUUAUUGAUUUCUCAAACCUUGGAUCUAGACAUGUAAAUAGUUAAAUGAUUAUUUUGCUUUUCGAUUAAAUAUGAUACUAACUAAUCAUGUCUAUCUUAUACAAGCUUCAAUCUAUUCUAAAAAUUCUGUUUAUAAGGUACCAUCAGCUAUGACCCUAAUGGACCCCAAAUAAAAAGGAGAAAACAUUUGACACUUAUCGUGGCCAACCAUGAAACCGUGUUUCAGAAACUGCAUCAUAGCACAUAUUUCAACCAUCGUUUCCUGGUUUGUAAUAUGUACUAGCCUUCUGAAAAAGACUGAGGCUGCACUUGUUCCUGUCAGGUACUUGUAGCAAAUAUUUACUAACUUUUGUUCUUUCGAUCAGAUAACAAAAGUUUCUUGUCUCUUAAUAAAUUUUAGGUUGUCAUGUUACAAAAAGGCCUAUCUACAAAUAGGUGG
rnacentral:lncRNA from 1 species